CAUGUUUUCAUCUAGAGUUUAAAGAGAUCAGGUUAACUGAGGGCUGUGAAGGGAAUGUGGAGGUUUUCUACAAUGGAUCCUGGGGUAAUGUGUGCUGGAACCAGAUGGACAGAGACACAGUGAGUCUGAUCUGUCAAGAGCUGAACUGUGGAAGAUCUGGUGUUUUUUCCAAUUCUAUACCAAGACUGGAAUCAGCUCGUAACUGGCUGGAUGAAGUGAAAUGUCGACCACAUGAUUCAAAUCUGUGGCAGUGUCCAUCUUUACCCUGGGGACAGAAUGACUGUGGUGAAGAUGAAGUGGCCAAAAUCACCUGUUUGGAACAGGAGAGUCAUGAGUCCCCUAGAAGCUAUUUGUCAUGCUCCACAUCUUCACAUCAGAGACA